rnacentral:rRNA from 1 species
GGGGGAUAUUGCACAAUGGAGGAAACUCUGAUGCAGCAAUGCCGCGUGAGGGAAGACGGUCUUCGGAUUGUAAACCUUUGUCCUUGGUGACGAUAAUGACGGUAGCCAAGGAGGAAGCUCCGGCUAACUACGUGCCAGCAGCCGCGGUAAUACGUAGGGAGCGAGCGUUGUCCGGAUUUACUGGGUGUAAAGGGUGCGUAGGCGGCUCUGCAAGUCAGGUGUGAAAACCAUCGGCUUAACUGAUGGACUGCAUUUGAAACUGUGGGGCUUGAGUGGAGUAGAGGCAGACGGAAUUCCCGGUGUAGCGGUGAAAUGCGUAGAGAUCGGGAAGAACACCAGUGGCGAAGGCGGCCUACUGGGCUUUAACUGACGCUGAAGCACGAAAGCAUGGGUAGCAAAC